rnacentral:sRNA from 1 species
UGCAACGCAAACAAGGUAAAAUCCACCCCAUUUUCUUAAAACACCUUGACCGCACAUACGAAGUGAGAAGAGAACACUUAUCGAUAAGAUAAACGGUCUGACCAUCAGAAAUAGCGCAAAAAUACCGAUGAAAAAACGAGCUUAAUCCACAUCCACCCUGUCAUUUAUCUUUAUUUUUAAAAAUGGCCCCUAUAUCCUUCACCUGAAGUGCGCUAACAUUCUUCAAGUUUCAAUAUUUUCGUGGGAAUAUUUAAGUACCCCCCUGCUCGACAAUGGGUUAAUCGCUCUCUGU